rnacentral:tRNA from 1 species
GAGGCGUUAGUAAAUUCAUUACAUAUUCUUGUCAAGAAUAAAUAACAAGCUAAAACCUUGUACACCUUA